AUUGAACGCUGGCGGCAGGCUUAACACAUGCAAGUCGAGCGAGCGGCGGACGGGUGAGUAACGUCUGGGAAACUGCCUGAUGGAGGGGGAUAACUACUGGAAACGGUAGCUAAUACCGCAUACCACAAGAUGUGCCCAGAUGGGAUUAGCGAGUAGGUGGGGGAAUGGCUCACCUAGGCGACGAUCCCUAGCUGGUCUGAGAGGAUGACCAGGCAAACUGAGACUGGGACACGGUCCAGAAUCCUACGAGAGGCGGCAGUGGGGAAUAUUGCACAAUGGGCUCAAGCCUGAUGCAGACAUGCGGGGUGAAUGAAGAAGGCCUUCGGGUUGUAAAGUACUUUCAGCGGGGAGGCGUUACCCGCAGAGGAAGCACCGGCUAACUCCGUGCCAGCAGCCGCGGUAAUAC
rnacentral:rRNA from 1 species